AGCAGUGAGGAAUAUUGGUCAAUAGCCUAACGGCUGAACCAGCAAUUUGGGGGAACGAAUAGCUUCGGCUAAUCAUACUUGGCUGUUAUAAUUUAUUAUUUAUAUUUCUAUUGGAAAAAUAUUUAAUAUAUUAUGCAUUUAAUUCUUAUUAGUAACAGGAUUAAUUAAUUUGCCAUUAAGGUAAUAUUUAUAUUACCGUGGACAAGUAUGAGAUCGAUUUUAUCGAAUAAAGUUCUAGAUAGAAUACUGAUUAUGACAAUUUUCUAUCUAUAUGUCUUGACCAAAAUACGUGCCAGCAGUCGCGGCAAUACGUAAAAGACUAGUGUUAUUCAUCUUUAAUAGGUUUAAAGGGUACCUAGACGGUAUAAUUAGUCCUAAACAGGAUACGGUUAUGACUAGAGUUAUAUAUGAGGAGGUGAGUAUUUAUGGAGUAGAGUUGAAAUUUGUUGAUCCCCUAACGACUGGUAACGGCGAAAGCAACCUUUUAUCUAAUAACUGACGUUGAGGGACGAAGGCUCGGGUCGCGAACAGGAUUAGAUACCCUAGUAGUCCAAGCAGAUAAUUAUGAAUGCCAUGGAUUAGAUACUUUUUAAAAUAAAGUUAUUAUUUAGUCUAUAAAUGAAAGUGUAAGCAUUUCACCUCAAGAGUAAUGUGGCAACGCAGGAACUGAAAUCAUUAGACCGUUUCUGAAACCAGUAGUGAAGUAUGUUAUUUAAUUCGUCAGUACGCGAAAAACCUUACCACAAUUUGAAUAUUAUCUUAAUGAAAGCAUUAUUAGUAAUAUAGUAGUGUUAGUAGUGAGAUAUUACAAGCGUUGCACGGCUGUCUUCAGUUAAUGUCGUGAGAUAUUGGUUAAUUCCAUUAAAUUAACGGAAACCCUUGCUUUAUUUAUCUUUUAAGAAUAAAGCAGUACACCAUUAUAACGGAGUUGUUAACAGGGACCAAGACAAGUCAUCAUGGCCUAAAUAUUGUGGGCUAUAGAC
rnacentral:rRNA from 1 species